rnacentral:misc_RNA from 1 species
UCGAGCGUCAUUGCAACCCUCAAGCUCUGCUUGGCAUUGGGCUUCGCCUUUAGUAGGUGGGUCUUAAAAUCAGUGGCAGUGCUAUUUAGCUUCAAGCGUAGUAAUUCUUCUCGCUAUGGAGUCUGAGUGUGUACUCCCUAGCAACCCCUAAUUCUUAAAAGGUUGACCUCGGAUCAGGUAGGGAUACCCGCUGAACUUAA